AGCUUUUCUGUAGCAAUACAGAGGAGCUUCUAGUGGCGCACGGGUGAGUAACACGUGGGCAACCUGCCCUUGAGUUCGGGAUACCCUCUCGAAAGGGAGGCUAAUACCGGAUACGUUCUUCGGAUCGCAAGGUCUGGAGAGGAAAGGUAGCGAAAGCUGCCGCUCUUGGAGGGGCUCGCGGCCUAUCAGCUAGUUGGUGAGGUCAUGGCUCACCAAGGCGAUGACGGGUAGCUGGUCUGAGAGGACGACCAGCCACACGGGAACUGAGACACGGUCCCGACUCCUACGGGAGGCAGCAGUGGGGAAUUUUCCGCAAUGGGCGAAAGCCUGACGGAGUGACGCCGCGUGGGGGACGAAGGCCUUCGGGUUGUAAACCCCUGUCAGAGGGAAAGAAGGGUCGGCGCGUGAACAGCGCGUCGAUCUGACGGUACCUUCAGAGGAAGCCCCGGCCAACUCUGUGCCAGCAGCCGCGGUAAGACAGAGGGGGCAAGCGUUGCUCGGAAUUACUGGGCGUAAAGGGCGCGUAGGCGGGAUGGCAAGUCGGUCGUGAAAUCCCUGGGCUCAACUCAGGGGGGUCGGCCGAUACUGCCAUUCUUGAGGGAUGCAGAGGAGACUGGAAUUCCCGGUGUAGCGGUGAAAUGUGUAGAGAUCGGGAGGAACACCGGUGGCGAAGGCGGGUCUCUGGGCAUUCCCUGACGCUGAGGCGCGAAAGCGUGGGGAGCAAACGGGAUUAGAUACCCCGGUAGUCCACGCGGUAAACGAUGACGACUA
rnacentral:rRNA from 1 species